rnacentral:rRNA from 1 species
UGCCUGUACCAUAACCGACACAGGUGGGUAGGUAGAGUAUACUAAGGGGCGCGAGAUAACUCUCUCUAAGGAACUCGGCAAAAUGACUCCGUAACUUCGGGAGAAGGAGUGCCUUAUUUAUAAGGUUGCAAUAACAAGAUCCAAGCAACUGUUUAUCAAAAACACAGGUCUCCGCUAAGUCGUAAGACGAUGUAUGGGGGCUGACGCCUGCCCAGUGCCAGAAGGUUAAAGAAGUUGGUUAGUGUAUGCGAAGCUGAUGACUGAAGCCCUGGUGAACGGCGGCCGUAACAAUAACGGUCCUAAGGUAGCGAAAUUCCUUGUCGGGUAAGUUCCGACCCGCACGAAAGGCGUAAUGAUUUGGAUACUGUCUCGGAGAGAGGCUCGGUGAAAUAGACUUGUCUGUGAAGAUGCGGACUACCUGCACCAGGACAGAAAGACCCUAUGAAGCUUUACUGUAACUUGAAAUUGGAAUUGGACUUUGCUUGCGCAGUAUAGGUGGGAAGCGUUGAAGAUAUUCUUGCGGGAGUAUUGGAGCUAUCAGUGAGAUACCACUCUUGUAAUGUUAGAUUUCUAACUUUGAACCAUAAUCUGGUCAAAGAACAGUUUCAGGUGGGCAGUUUGACUGGGGCGGUCGCCUCCCAAAUGGUAACGGAGGCGUACAAAGGUUUCCUCUGAACGGAUAGAAAUCGUAUCUAGAGUGUAAAGGCAUAAGGAAGCUUGACUGUGAGACCUACAAGUCGAGCAGGGACGAAAGUCGGUCUUAGUGAUCUGACGGUACUGAGUGGAAGGGCCGUCACUCAACGGAUAAAAGUUACUCUAGGGAUAACAGGCUGAUCUCCCCCAAGAGUUCACAUCGACGGGGAGGUUUGGCACCUCGAUGUCGGCUCAUCGCAUCCUGGGGCGGUAGUACGUCCCAAGGGUUGGGCUGUUCGCCCAUGAAAGCGGUACGCGAGCUGGGUUCAGAACGUCGUGAGACAGUUCGGUCCAUAUCCGGUGUAGGCGUUAGAAUAUUGAGAGGAGCCUUCUUUAGUACGAGAGGACCGAGAAGGACACACCGCUGGUGUACCAGUUAUCGUGCCAACGGUAAACGCUGGGUAGCUAUGUGUGGAGUGGAUAACCGCUGAAAGCAUCUAAGUGGGAAGCCCACCUCAAGAUGAGUAUUCUCAUCACUAUAAGUGAGUAAGGUCACGGUAAGACUAACCGUUUGAUAGGCAUUAAGUGUAAAUGUAGUAAUGCAUGUGCUGAGAUGUCCUAACAGACCGAGGACUUG